rnacentral:rRNA from 1 species
AGGACGAACGCUGGCGGCGUGCUUAACACAUGCAAGUCGAACGAUGAAGCCUAGCUUGCUAGGUGGAUUAGUGGCGAACGGGUGAGUAAUACGUGAGUAACCUACCUUUAACUCUGGGAUAAGCCUGGGAAACUGGGUCUAAUACCGGAUACGACCAAUCUCCGCAUGGGGUGUUGGUGGAAAGCGUUAUGUAGUGGUUAUAGAUGGGCUCACGGCCUAUCAGCUUGUUGGUGAGGUAACGGCUCACCAAGGCGACGACGGGUAGCCGGCCUGAGAGGGUGACCGGCCACACUGGGACUGAGACACGGCCCAGACUCCUACGGGAGGCAGCAGUGGGGAAUAUUGCACAAUGGGCGCAAGCCUGAUGCAGCGACGCCGCGUGAGGGAUGACGGCCUUCGGGUUGUAAACCUCUGUUAGCAGGGAAGAAGAGAGAUUGACGGUACCUGCAGAGAAAGCGCCGGCUAACUACGUGCCAGCAGCCGC